UCUUGUCUUGGGAGUCGAACUGAAUCAUUACACUGGCUGAGCAAUGCCAGCCAGGGGUAUCCAGAUACAUUGCGCAACAAGGAACAAUGGCUGCCAGGUCGACCAGAGAGACCCAUAAAUGGACGCCGGAGGAAACCCAGCAGCUGAUCCACUUUCUGGCUGAAAACGAGCAAUAUCAGCAAGUCCAAGAAUGAUGUACCAGUACAGCCCAACUUGAAUAUAUUCCCAACCAUUUUGAUGGGGGACAGAAGACGGAGCUUCAGGCCAAACUGGUCUAAUCUUCAUCCAUGGCUCGAGUAUUCUGUCAUGAUGGACUCUACAUAUUGCUAUGCAAGUAGACGUUUUUAAUUUUUUAUUGCCCUACCUCUC